rnacentral:rRNA from 1 species
UACGUAGGGUGCAAGCGUUUGUCCGGAAUUAUUGGGCGUAAAGAGCUCGUAGGCGGCUUGUCGCGUCGGCUGUGAAAUCCCGAGGCUCAACCUCGGGUCUGCAGUCGAUACGGGCGGACUGGAGUUCGGCAGGGGAGACUGGAAUUCCUGGUGUAGCGGUGAAAUGCGCAGAUAUCAGGAGGAACACCGGUGGCGAAGGCGGGUCUCUGGGCCGAUACUGACGUGAGGAGCGAAAGCGUGGGGGAGCGAACAGG